rnacentral:rRNA from 1 species
GACGAACGCUGGCGGCGUGCUUAACACAUGCAAGUCGAACGGAAAGGCCCUGCUUUUGUGGGGUGCUCGAGUGGCGAACGGGUGAGUAACACGUGAGUAACCUGCCCUUGACUUUGGGAUAACUUCAGGAAACUGGGGCUACUACCGGAUAGGAGCUCCUGCUGCAUGGUGGGGGUUGGAAAGUUUCGGCGGUUGGGGAUGGACUCGCGGCUUAUCAGCUUGUUGGUGGGGUAGUGGCUUACCAAGGCUUUGACGGGUAGCCGGCCUGAGAGGGUGAACGGCCACAUUGGGACUGCGAGACGGCCCAGACUCCUACGGGAGGCAGCAGUGGGGAAUAUUGCACAAUGGGCGGAAGUCUGAUGCAGCAACGCCGCGUGCGGGAUGACGGCCUUCGGGUUGUAAACCGCUUUCGCCUGUGACGAAGCGUGAGUGACGGUAAUGGGUAAAGAAGCACCGGCUAACUACGUG